rnacentral:rRNA from 1 species
UACGAAGGGGGCUAGCGUUGUUCGGAAUUACUGGGCGUAAAGCGCACGUAGGCGGAUCGAUCAGUCAGGGGUGAAAUCCCAGGGCUCAACCCUGGAACUGCCUUUGAUACUGUCGAUCUGGAGUAUGGAAGAGGUGAGUGGAAUUCCGAGUGUAGAGGUGAAAUUCGUAGAUAUUCGGAGGAACACCAGUGGCGAAGGCGGCUCACUGGUCCAUUACUGACGCUCAUGCACGAAAGCGUGGGGAGCAAACAGG